AUACGUAGGUGACAAGCGUUAUCCGGAUUUACUGGGCGUAAAGGGCGCGUAGGCGGCCCGGUAAGUCUGGAGUGAAAGUCCUGUUUUUAAGGUGGGAAUUGCUUUGGAUACUGCCGCGCUUGAGUGCAGGAGAGGUUAUCGGAAUUCCCGGUGUAGCGGUGAAAUGCGUAGAGAUCGGGAGGAACACCAGUGGCGAAGGCGGGUAACUGGACUGCAACUGACGCUGAGGCGCGAAAGUGUGGGGAGCAAACAGGAUUAGAUACCCUGGUAGUCCACACUGUAAACGAUGAAUGCUAGGUGUAAGAGGUAUCGACCCCUUUUGUGCCGGAGUCAACACAAUAAGCAUUCCGCCUGGGGAGUACGGCCGCAAGGUUGAAACUCAAAGGAAUUGACGGGG
rnacentral:rRNA from 1 species